GGAGGGGAGUCUUCUGCACUACCCGAGACUCAGAGAAUUCAGCAAGAUGCUUCUGAAUGGUGCACAUGUGGAAAUUGUGCAACAAUGCCGUCAGAGCCUGAGAACUUAUGCUGCCAGGAGGUACCACAGGUUACAAGACGGCUGCAGCAGCUGGAUGAAAGGCCUCCAUGUAUGAUAG